rnacentral:rRNA from 26 species
ACUCUCAGCAACGGAUAUCUUGGCUCUUGCAACGAUGAAGAACGCAGCGAAAUGCGAUACGUAGUGUGAAUUGCAGAAUUCCGCGAAUCAUCGAGUCUUUGAACGCAAGUUGCGCCCGAGGCUUGUCCGAGGGCAUUUCCGCUAGAGCGUCACCGCGCCCC